rnacentral:tRNA from 1 species
GGGGUUGUGGCUCAGUGGUUGAGCGCUUGCCUCACAUGUGUGAGGCACUUAGUUCGAUCCUGAGCACCACA